AUUGAACGCUGGCGGCAGGCCUAACACAUGCAAGUCGAGCGGAUGAACGCAGCUUUCUCCUGGAUUCAGCGGCGGACGGGUGAGUAAUGCCUAGGAAUCUGCCUGCUAGGGGGGGAUAACGUCCGGAAACGGGCGCUAAUACCGCAUACGUCCUGAGCCAGAAAGUGGGGGAUCUUUGGACCUCACGCUAUCAUAUGAGCCUAGGUCGGAUUAGCUAGUUGGUGGGGUAAAGGCCUACCAAGGCGACGAUCCGUAACUGGACUGAGAGGAUGAUCAGUCACACUGGAACUGAGACGCGGUCCAGACUCCUACGGGAGGCAGCAGUGGGGAAUAUUGGGCAAUGGGCGAGAGCCUGAUCCAGCCGUGCCGCGUGUGUGAAGGAGGUCUUCGGAUUGUAAAGAACUUUAAGUUGGGAGGAAGCGCUGUAAGUUGAUACCUUGCUGUUUUGACGUUACCAACAGAAUAAGCACCGGCUAACUUCGUG
rnacentral:rRNA from 1 species